CUGAAAGAACCGAGAUAAGGGUGAUCUAGAAGAUAUGCAUCAAAAUGGCACUGCUACCAGUCAUCUUAUUGUCACUCAUGAUACCAGUUUCUCUUCUGAGUUGCCGGGGACAGAACUUAUUCGCUGGAGUUUCAAAGGUGCUGUAGGGACUUCAAACGUUGCAUGGAACUGGGAAUAGUCUACUUUGAAGAAUCCUUCCUCUAAGGAAAUAACAGGGAAGAAACGAUGGCCCCAAAGAACUUCAUCUUCUGUGUAGGAUGUUCUGGCCUGACAAGUCAUCCCUACAAGUUCAAAGGCAAACAAGAGCUUGAUUGCUGUCGUCUCCCCUUCAGGUUAUCCAGUCACAAUGCUGCAGUGACUUUGGAAGCAACUACUGACAAAAAUCCCUUUUCUAUGCAAUAGAACACCAGCCCUGUUCAGAU